UGCCAGCAGCCGCGGUAAUACGGAGGGUGCAAGCAUUAAUCGGAAUUACUGGGCGUAAAGGGCGCGUAGGCGGCAUGGUAAGUCAGAUGUGAAGUUCCGGGGCUCAACCCCGGAGCUGCAUUUGAAACUACUAAGCUAGAGGAUAGACGGAGAAAGCGGAAUUCCAUGUGUAGCGGUGAAAUGCGUAGAUAUAUGGAAGAACACCGGUGGCGAAGGCGGCUUUCUAGCCUAUUCCUGACGCUGAGGCGCGAGAGCUAGGGGAGCAAACAGGAUUAGAUA
rnacentral:rRNA from 1 species